rnacentral:rRNA from 1 species
CCUACGGGAGUCAGCAGUGGGGAAUAUUGCACAAUGGGGGAAACCCUGAUGCAGCGACGCCGCGUGAGUGAAGAAGUAAUUCGUUCUGUAAAGCUCUAUCAGCAGGGAAGAAAAUGACGGUACCUGAUUAAGAAGCCCCGGCUAACUACGUGCCAGCAGCCGCGGUAAUACGUAGGUGGCAAGCGUUAUCCGGAUUUACUGGGUGUAAAGGGCGCGUAGACGGCAGUGCAAGCCUGGAGUGAAAGGCGGGGGCUCAACCCCCGGACUGCUCUGUAAACUGUACGGAUGGAGUGCAGGAGAGGUAAGUGGAAGUCCUAGUGUAGCGGUGAAAUGCGUAGAUAUUAGGAGGAACACCAGUGGCGAAGGCGGCUUACUGGACUGUAACUGACGUUGAGGCUCGAAAGCGUGGGGAGCAAACAGGAUUAGAUACCCUAGUAGUC